ACUGUGGCUCAGUUGGUAGAGCAGCUGAUUCGUAAUCAGCAGGCCGCCGGUUCAAGUCCGGCCA
rnacentral:tRNA from 1 species